UACGAAGGGGGCUAGCGUUGCUCGGAAUCACUGGGCGUAAAGGGUGCGUAGGUGGGUUUUUAAGUCAGGGGUGAAAUCCUGGAGCUCAACUCCAGAACUGCCUUUGAUACUGAAGAUCUUGAGUCCGGGAGAGGUGAGUGGAACUGCGAGUGUAGAGGUGAAAUUCGUAGAUAUUCGCAAGAACACCAGUGGCGAAGGCGGCUCACUGGCCCGAUACUGACGCUGAGGCACGAAAGCGUGGGGAGCAAACAGG
rnacentral:rRNA from 1 species